UACGUAGGGUGCAAGCGUUAAUCGGAAUUACUGGGCGUAAAGCGUGCGCAGGCGGUUUUGUAAGUCUGUUGUGAAAUCCCCGGGCUCAACCUGGGAAUGGCGAUGGAGACUGCAAGGCUAGAGUUUGGCAGAGGGGGGUAGAAUUCCACGUGUAGCAGUGAAAUGCGUAGAGAUGUGGAGGAAUACCGAUGGCGAAGGCAGCCCCCUGGGAUGACACUGACGCUCAUGCACGAAAGCGUGGGGAGCAAACAGG
rnacentral:rRNA from 1 species